rnacentral:rRNA from 1 species
CCUACGGGAGGCAGCAGUGAGGAAUAUUGGUCAAUGGACGAGAGUCUGAACCAGCCAAGUAGCGUGAAGGAUGACUGCCCUAUGGGUUGUAAACUUCUUUUAUAUGGGAAUAAAACGUUCCACGUGUGGGAUUUUGUAUGUACCAUAUGAAUAAGGAUCGGCUAAAUCCGUGCCAGCAGCCGCGGUAAUACGGAGGAUCCGAGCGUUAUCCGGAUUUAUUGGGUUUAAAGGGAGCGUAGGUGGAUUGUUAAGUCAGUUGUGAAAGUUUGCGGCUCAACCGUAAAAUUGCAGUUGAAACUGGCAGUCUUGAGUACAGUAGAGGUGGGCGGAAUGCGUGGUGUAGCGGUGAAAUGCUUAGAUAUCACGAAGAACUCCGAUUGCGAAGGCAGUUCACUGGACUGCAACUGACACUGAGGCUCGAAAGUGUGGGUAUCAAACAGGAUUAGAUACCCCAGUAGUC